rnacentral:rRNA from 1 species
GGGACACGUGGUAUCCUGUCUGAAUAUGGGGGGACCAUCCUCCAAGGCUAAAUACUCCUGACUGACCGAUAGUGAACCAGUACCGUGAGGGAAAGGCGAAAAGAACCCCGGCGAGGGGAGUGAAAAAGAACCUGAAACCGUGUACGUACAAGCAGUGGGAGCACGCUUAGGCGUGUGACUGCGUACCUUUUGUAUAAUGGGUCAGCGACUUAUAUUCUGUAGCAAGGUUAACCGAAUAGGGGAGCCGAAGGGAAACCGAGUCUUAACUGGGCGUUAAGUUGCAGGGUAUAGACCCGAAACCCGGUGAUCUAGCCAUGGGCAGGUUGAAGGUUGGGUAACACUAACUGGAGGACCGAACCGACUAAUGUUGAAAAAUUAGCGGAUGACUUGUGGCUGGGGGUGAAAGGCCAAUCAAACCGGGAGAUAGCUGGUUCUCCCCGAAAGCUAUUUAGGUAGCGCCUCGUGAAUUCAUCUCCGGGGGUAGAGCACUGUUUCGGCAAGGGGGUCAUCCCGACUUACCAACCCGAUGCAAACUGCGAAUACCGGAGAAUGUUAUCACGGGAGACACACGGCGGGUGCUAACGUCCGUCGUGAAGAGGGAAACAACCCAGACCGCCAGCUAAGGUCCCAAAGUCAUGGUUAAGUGGGAAACGAUGUGGGAAGGCCCAGACAGCCAGGAUGUUGGCUUAGAAGCAGCCAUCAUUUAAAGAAAGCGUAAUAGCUCACUGGUCGAGUCGGCCUGCGCGGAAGAUGUAACGGGGCUAAACCAUGCACCGAAGCUGCGGCAGCGACGCUUAUGCGUUGUUGGGUAGGGGAGCGUUCUGUAAGCCUGUGAAGGUGUGCUGUGAGGCAUGCUGGAGGUAUCAGAAGUGCGAAUGCUGACAUAAGUAACGAUAAAGCGGGUGAAAAGCCCGCUCGCCGGAAGACCAAGGGUUCCUGUCCAACGUUAAUCGGGGCAGGGUGAGUCGACCCCUAAGGCGAGGCCGAAAGGCGUAGUCGAUGGGAAACAGGUUAAUAUUCCUGUACUUGGUGUUACUGCGAAGGGGGGACGGAGAAGGCUAUGUUGGCCGGGCGACGGUUGUCCCGGUUUAAGCGUGUAGGCUGGUUUUCCAGGCAAAUCCGGAAAAUCAAGGCUGAGGCGUGAUGACGAGGCACUACGGUGCUGAAGCAACAAAUGCCCUGCUUCCAGGAAAAGCCUCUAAGCAUCAGGUAACAUCAAAUCGUACCCCAAACCGACACAGGUGGUCAGGUAGAGAAUACCAAGGCGCUUGAGAGAACUCGGGUGAAGGAACUAGGCAAAAUGGUGCCGUAACUUCGGGAGAAGGCACGCUGAUAUGUAGGUGAAGUCCCUCGCGGAUGGAGCUGAAAUCAGUCGAAGAUACCAGCUGGCUGCAACUGUUUAUUAAAAACACAGCACUGUGCAAACACGAAAGUGGACGUAUACGGUGUGACGCCUGCCCGGUGCCGGAAGGUUAAUUGAUGGGGUUAGCCGCAAGGCGAAGCUCUUGAUCGAAGCCCCGGUAAACGGCGGCCGUAACUAUAACGGUCCUAAGGUAGCGAAAUUCCUUGUCGGGUAAGUUCCGACCUGCACGAAUGGCGUAAUGAUGGCCAGGCUGUCUCCACCCGAGACUCAGUGAAAUUGAACUCGCUGUGAAGAUGCAGUGUACCCGCGGCAAGACGGAAAGACCCCGUGAACCUUUACUAUAGCUUGACACUGAACAUUGAGCCUUGAUG